rnacentral:rRNA from 1 species
UAGUACGAGAGGACCAGAGUGGACGAACCUCUGGUGUACCGGUUGUGACGCCAGUCGCAUCGCCGGGUAGCUAUGUUCGGAAGGGAUAACCGCUGAAAGCAUCUAAGCGGGAAGCCUACCUCAAGAUAAGAUUUCCCUAGGACUUUAUGUCCUCUAAAGAGCCGUUCGAGACUAGGACGUUGAUAGGUUGGAUGUGGAAGCAUAGUGAUAUGUGAAGCUGACCAAUACUAAUUGCUCGUGAGGCUUGACUAUACAACACCCAAGCAGUUG